GAUGAACGCUGGCGGCGUGCCUAAUACAUGCAAGUCGAGCGAACAGAUGAGGAGCUUGCUCCUCUGACGUUAGCGGCGGACGGGUGAGUAACACGUGGAUAACCUACCUAUAAGACUGGGAUAACUUCGGGAAACCGGAGCUAAUACCGGAUAAUAUAUUGAACCGCAUGGUUCAAUAGUGAAAGACGGUUUUGCUGUCACUUAUAGAUGGAUCCGCGCCGCAUUAGCUAGUUGGUAAGGUAACGGCUUACCAAGGCAACGAUGCGUAGCCGAUCUGAGAGGGUGAUCGGCCACACUGGAACUGAGACACGGUCCAGACUCCUACGGGAGGCAGCAGUAGGGAAUCUUCCGCAAUGGGCGAAAGCCUGACGGAGCAACGCCGCGUGAGUGAUGAAGGUCUUCGGAUCGUAAAACUCUGUUAUUAGGGAGGAACAAAUGUGUAAGUAACUAUGCACGUCUUGACGGUACCUAAUCAGAAAGCCACGGCUAACUACGUG
rnacentral:rRNA from 1 species